rnacentral:rRNA from 1 species
GUUGUAUAGUCAAGUAAUUAAGUGCAUGUGGUGGAUGCCUUGGCAGUCAGAGGCGAUGAAAGACGUGAUAGCCUGCGAAAAGCUCCGGGGAGGCGGCAAAUAUCCUUUGAUCCGGAGAUGUCUGAAUGGGGGAACCCACCUACUUUAAGGUAGGUAUUGCAACAUGAAUACAUAGUGUUGCAAGGCGAACGAGGGGAAGUGAAACAUCUCAGUACCCUUAGGAAAAGAAAUCAAUUGAGAUUCCCUCAGUAGCGGCGAGCGAACGGGGAUCAGCCCAUUAAGUUAUGUGUGUUUUAGUGGAACGCUCUGGGAAGUGCGAACGUAGAGGGUGAUAUUCCCGUACACGAAAGGGCACACAUAAUGAUGACGAGUAGGGCGAGGCACGUGAAACCUUGUCUGAAUAUGGGGGGACCAUCCUCCAAGGCUAAAUACUCCUGACUGACCGAUAGUGAACCAGUACCGUGAGGGAAAGGCGAAAAGAACCCCUGUGAGGGGAGUGAAAUAGAUCCUGAAACCGCAUGCAUACAAGCAGUGGGAGCACCUUCGUGGUGUGACUGCGUACCUUUUGUAUAAUGGGUCAGCGACUUAUAUUCAGUAGCGAGGUUAACCGUAUAGGGGAGCCGUAGAGAAAUCGAGUCUUAAUAGGGCGUUUAGUUGCUGGGUAUAGACCCGAAACCAGGCGAUCUAUCCAUGAGCAGGUUGAAGGUUGGGUAACACUAACUGGAGGACCGAACCCACUGUCGUUGAAAAGCCAGGGGAUGACUUGUGGAUAGGGGUGAAAGGCUAAUCAAGCCUGGUGAUAGCUGGUUCUCCCCGAAAGCUAUUUAGGUAGCGCCUCGGACGAAUACCAUAGGGGGUAGAGCACUGUUUCGGCUAGGGGGUCAUCCCGACUUACCAAACCGAUGCAAACUCCGAAUACCUAUGAGUACUAUCCGGGAGACAGACUGCGGGUGCUAACGUCCGUAGUCAAGAGGAAAACAAUCCAGACCGCCAGCUAAGGCCCCAAAAUCAUAGUUAAGUGGGAAACGAUGUGGGAAGGCAUAGACAGCUAGGAGGUUGGCUUAGAAGCAGCCACCCUUUAAAGAAAGCGUAAUAGCUCACUAGUCGAGUCGGCCUGCGCGGAAGAUGUAACGGGGCUAAAACUAUGUGCCGAAGCUGCGGAUGUAUACUUUGUAUACGUGGUAGGGGAGCGUUCUGUAAGCCGAUGAAGGUGUGUUGAGAAGCAUGCUGGAGGUAUCAGAAGUGCGAAUGCUGACGUGAGUAACGACAAAACGGGUGAAAAACCCGUUCGCCGAAAGACCAAGGGUUCCAGUCCAACGUUAAUCGGGGCUGGGUGAGUCGACCCUAAGGCGAGGCCGAAAGGCGUAGUCGAUGGGAAAAUGGUUAAUAUUCCAUUACUUCUGUGUAAUGCGAUGAGAGGACGGAGAAGGCUAAAUCAGCCUGGCGUUGGUUGUCCAGGUGAAAGGAUGUAGGCAUGUAUCUUAGGCAAAUCCGGGGUACUCUAUGCUGAGAUCUGAUAGCAAGCUGUACUUGUACAGCGAAGUGGUUGAUGCCAUGCUUCCAGGAAAAGUCUCUAAGCUUCAGUUACACAGGAAUCGUACCCGAAACCGACACAGGUGGUCAGGUCGAGUAGACCAAGGCGCUUGAGAGAACUCUGCUGAAGGAACUAGGCAAAAUGGUACCGUAACUUCGGGAGAAAGGUACGCUGUUGUUGGUGAUGGAACUCGCUUCCUGAGCUGACGACAGCCGCAGAAACCAGGCCGCUGCAACUGUUUAUUAAAACAUAGCACUCUGCAAACACGAAAGUGGACGUAUAGGGUGUGAUGCCUGCCCGGUGCUGGAAGGUUAAUUGAUGGGGUUAGCGUAAGCGAAGCUCUUGAUCGAAGCCCCAGUAAACGGCGGCCGUAACUAUAACGGUCCUAAGGUAGCGAAAUUCCUUGUCGGGUAAGUUCCGACCUGCACGAAUGGCAUAAUGAUGGCGGCGCUGUCUCCAGCAGAGGCUCAGUGAAAUCGAAAUCGCUGUGAAGAUGCAGUGUACCCGCGGCUAGACGGAAAGACCCCGUGAACCUUUACUGCAGCUUGACACUGAACUUUGACCUUACUUGUGUAGGAUAGGUGGGAGGCUUUGAAGCUGGAACGCUAGUUCCAGUGGAGCCGUCCUUGAAAUACCACCCUGGUAAUGUUGAGGUUCUAACUCUGUCCCGUGAUCCGGGACGAGGACCGUGUCUGGUGGGUAGUUUGACUGGGGCGGUCUCCGUCCUAAAGAGUAACGGAGGAGUACGAAGGUGCGCUCAGCGUGGUCGGAAAUCACGCGUAGAGUAUAAAGGCAAAAGCGCGCUUAACUGCGAGACCCACAAGUCGAGCAGGUACGAAAGUAGGUCUUAGUGAUCCGGUGGUUCUGUAUGGAAGGGCCAUCGCUCAACGGAUAAAAGGUACUCUGGGGAUAACAGGCUGAUACCGCCCAAGAGUUCAUAUCGACGGCGGUGUUUGGCACCUCGAUGUCGGCUCAUCUCAUCCUGGGGCUGAAGCAGGUCCCAAGGGUAUGGCUGUUCGCCAUUUAAAGAGGUACGCGAGCUGGGUUUAGAACGUCGUGAGACAGUUCGGUCCCUAUCUACCGUGGGCGCUGGAAAUUUGAGAGGAUCUGCUCCUAGUACGAGAGGACCAGAGUGGACGAACCUCUGGUGUACCGGUUGUGACGCCAGUCGCAUCGCCGGGUAGCUAUGUUCGGAAGGGAUAACCGCUGAAAGCAUCUAAGCGGGAAGCCUACCUCAAGAUAAGAUUUCCCUAGGACUUUAUGUCCUCUAAAGAGCCGUUCGAGACUAGGACGUUGAUAGGUUGGAUGUGGAAGCAUAGUGAUAUGUGAAGCUGACCAAUACUAAUUGCUCGUGAGGCUUGACUAUACAACACCCAAGCAGUUG